UUAAGUUAUUAAGGGCGCACGGUGGAUGCCUUGGCACUAGAAGCCGAUGAAGGACGUUACUAACGACGAUAUGCUUUGGGGAGCUGUAAGUAAGCUUUGAUCCAGAGAUUUCCGAAUGGGGAAACCCAGCAUGAGUUAUGUCAUGUUAUCGAUAUGUGAAUACAUAGCAUAUCAGAAGGCACACCCGGAGAACUGAAACAUCUUAGUACCCGGAGGAAGAAAAAGAAAAUUCGAUUCCCUUAGUAGCGGCGAGCGAAACGGGAAGAGCCCAAACCAACAAGCUUGCUUGUUGGGGUUGUAGGACACUCUAUACGGAGUUACAAAGGACGACAUUAGACGAAUCAUCUGGAAAGAUGAAUCAAAGAAGGUAAUAAUCCUGUAGUCGAAAAUGUUGUCUCUCUUGAGUGGAUCCUGAGUACGACGGAGCACGUGAAAUUCCGUCGGAAUCUGGGAGGACCAUCUCCUAAGGCUAAAUACUCUCUAGUGACCGAUAGUGAACCAGUACCGUGAGGGAAAGGUGAAAAGCACCCCGGAAGGGGAGUGAAAUAGAACCUGAAACCGUGUGCUUACAAGUAGUCAGAGCCCGUUAAUAGGUGAUGGCGUGCCUUUUGUAGAAUGAACCGGCGAGUUACGAUUUGAUGCAAGGUUAAGCAGUAAAUGUGGAGCCGUAGCGAAAGCGAGUCUGAAUAGGGCGUUUAGUAUUUGGUCGUAGACCCGAAACCAGGUGAUCUACCCUUGGUCAGGUUGAAGUUCAGGUAACACUGAAUGGAGGACCGAACCGACUUACGUUGAAAAGUGAGCGGAUGAACUGAGGGUAGCGGAGAAAUUCCAAUCGAACCUGGAGAUAGCUGGUUCUCUCCGAAAUAGCUUUAGGGCUAGCCUCAAGUGAUGAUUAUUGGAGGUAGAGCACUGUUUGGACGAGGGGCCCCUCUCGGGUUACCGAAUUCAGACAAACUCCGAAUGCCAAUUAAUUUAACUUGGGAGUCAGAACAUGGGUGAUAAGGUCCGUGUUCGAAAGGGAAACAGCCCAGACCACCAGCUAAGGUCCCAAAAUAUAUGUUAAGUGGAAAAGGAUGUGGCGUUGCCCAGACAACUAGGAUGUUGGCUUAGAAGCAGCCAUCAUUUAAAGAGUGCGUAAUAGCUCACUAGUCGAGUGACACUGCGCCGAAAAUGUACCGGGGCUAAACAUAUUACCGAAGCUGUGGAUUGUCCUUUGGACAAUGGUAGGAGAGCGUUCUAAGGGCGUUGAAGCAUGAUCGUAAGGACAUGUGGAGCGCUUAGAAGUGAGAAUGCCGGUGUGAGUAGCGAAAGACGGGUGAGAAUCCCGUCCACCGAUUGACUAAGGUUUCCAGAGGAAGGCUCGUCCGCUCUGGGUUAGUCGGGUCCUAAGCUGAGGCCGACAGGCGUAGGCGAUGGAUAACAGGUUGAUAUUCCUGUACCACCUAUAAUCGUUUUAAUCGAUGGGGGGACGCAGUAGGAUAGGCGAAGCGUGCGAUUGGAUUGCACGUCUAAGCAGUAAGGCUGAGUAUUAGGCAAAUCCGGUACUCGUUAAGGCUGAGCUGUGAUGGGGAGAAGACAUUGUGUCUUCGAGUCGUUGAUUUCACACUGCCGAGAAAAGCCUCUAGAUAGAAAAUAGGUGCCCGUACCGCAAACCGACACAGGUAGUCAAGAUGAGAAUUCUAAGGUGAGCGAGCGAACUCUCGUUAAGGAACUCGGCAAAAUGACCCCGUAACUUCGGGAGAAGGGGUGCUCUUUAGGGUUAACGCCCAGAAGAGCCGCAGUGAAUAGGCCCAAGCGACUGUUUAUCAAAAACACAGGUCUCUGCUAAACCGUAAGGUGAUGUAUAGGGGCUGACGCCUGCCCGGUGCUGGAAGGUUAAGAGGAGUGGUUAGCUUCUGCGAAGCUACGAAUCGAAGCCCCAGUAAACGGCGGCCGUAACUAUAACGGUCCUAAGGUAGCGAAAUUCCUUGUCGGGUAAGUUCCGACCCGCACGAAAGGCGUAACGAUUUGGGCACUGUCUCAACGAGAGACUCGGUGAAAUCAUAGUACCUGUGAAGAUGCAGGUUACCCGCGACAGGACGGAAAGACCCCGUGGAGCUUUACUGUAGCCUGAUAUUGAAAUUCGGCACAGCUUGUACAGGAUAGGUAGGAGCCUUUGAAACGUGAGCGCUAGCUUACGUGGAGGCGCUGGUGGGAUACUACCCUAGCUGUGUUGGCUUUCUAACCCGCACCACUUAUCGUGGUGGGAGACAGUGUCAGGCGGGCAGUUUGACUGGGGCGGUCGCCUCCUAAAAGGUAACGGAGGCGCUCAAAGGUUCCCUCAGAAUGGUUGGAAAUCAUUCAUAGAGUGUAAAGGCAUAAGGGAGCUUGACUGCGAGACCUACAAGUCGAGCAGGGUCGAAAGACGGACUUAGUGAUCCGGUGGUUCCGCAUGGAAGGGCCAUCGCUCAACGGAUAAAAGCUACCCCGGGGAUAACAGGCUUAUCUCCCCCAAGAGUUCACAUCGACGGGGAGGUUUGGCACCUCGAUGUCGGCUCAUCGCAUCCUGGGGCUGUAGUCGGUCCCAAGGGUUGGGCUGUUCGCCCAUUAAAGCGGUACGCGAGCUGGGUUCAGAACGUCGUGAGACAGUUCGGUCCCUAUCCGUCGUGGGCGUAGGAAAUUUGAGAGGAGCUGUCCUUAGUACGAGAGGACCGGGAUGGACAUACCUCUGGUGUACCAGUUGUCGUGCCAACGGCAUAGCUGGGUAGCUAUGUGUGGACGGGAUAAGUGCUGAAAGCAUCUAAGCAUGAAGCCCCCCUCAAGAUGAGAUUUCCCAACUUCGGUUAUAAGAUCCCUCAAAGAUGAUGAGGUUAAUAGGUUCGAGGUGGAAGCAUGGUGACAUGUGGAGCUGACGAAUACUAAUCGAUCGAAGACUUAAUCAA
rnacentral:rRNA from 1 species